UCGCAACGAUGUUCUCUUUCACUUUUCUUUCUUUCUUUCUUUCUUUCUUGGUCAGUGAAGAGUAACCUGUUGAUCAUCAGCCUCAGGAGGGAUCAAAACACAGUUGGAGGACCAGGUCUAUGUGUGUAUGAAUCAAGCCUCCGUAUUGCUUUAAUUACAGCAUGAGACAAUGGCCUUCGUCAGUGGGAGUGAUCUGGUCGGGGUCAUCCAAGACUACACCAAAGGAUUAAUGUGCCGGCCUUAAGAAAAUACUACAAAGAGAGGAAAAACUUAAAACCGGUCGGCCUAGGCCAAAAUACACAGAGAUCCUUUCUCAGCGGCUGCCGAUAGUGGAUUUGAUAGAUCUGCACUGGACUGUGGGAUUUGGAUGAUCACUUGAAGAUGCCAUAAAAGAUUAGCACAACACAAGGUAGCCAACUUCAAGAAACAGCAAUACCAGCAGGUGGGUCAUUAUCAUUUCUCAACAUGAUGGUUCUACUUUUAACUCUCAUGGUGACUAAACUCAUAGUUAUCUCUUUUCCUCUGAGGCUCUUUCACGGAGAUUGUCAGUGAACGAAAACAGAAAGAAAGACAGGCACAACAAUGUCCUUCAUUCUCUUGCCUGGCAGAUGUUUACCAUACUAUUAGCAGCUGUGAUAGGCCAGUUAGACCGAGGAAGAGCUCCUGUGCAUGACCUUUACAGUAAGAGGAAGGAAACCGCAUCAGUCCCACUCUAUGGAUCAGAGCAAACGGCCCACAUUGUGGACUUAAAUUGUACGGGUGUGUAGGAUGAUCAAAAAACACGUCAUCUUCUCCCUUCCCUCCCUUCCCUCAGCCCAAAGACUCAUUUGUCCUGGUAAGAGGUCUAGUGACCACACAAAGGACAAUUUAAUUGCUUUACUAUAGUUGAGGACAUUUAACGAGUAAGGUAACUGUGUCUCAAAUAUUUCACCUAAAAUCCAUUGGCAAAAUGAAAAUGUGUAAAAAUGAGACAUAGACAAUAAAGUAUUGACAAAGAGUUAGACUAUAGAGCUA
ensembl:lncRNA